AGUGAACGCUGGCGGCAGGCCUAACACAUGCAAGUCGAGCGGCAGCGGGUCCUUCGGGAUGCCGGCGAGCGGCGGACGGGUGAGGAAUGCGUCGGAAUCUGCCUUUUUGUGGGGGAUAACGUAUGGAAACUUACGCUAAUACCGCAUACGACCUACGGGUGAAAGUGGGGGACCGCAAGGCCUCACGCAGAAAGAUGAGCCGACGUCGGAUUAGCUAGUUGGCGGGGUAAAGGCCCACCAAGGCGACGAUCCGUAGCUGGUCUGAGAGGAUGAUCAGCCACACUGGAACUGAGACACGGUCCAGACUCCUACGGGAGGCAGCAGUGGGGAAUAUUGGACAAUGGGCGCAAGCCUGAUCCAGCCAUGCCGCGUGUGUGAAGAAGGCCUUCGGGUUGUAAAGCACUUUUGUCCGGAAAGAAAUCCUGUCGGCUAAUACCCGGCGGGGAUGACGGUACCGGAAGAAUAAGCACCGGCUAACUUCGUG
rnacentral:rRNA from 1 species